AGGGUGUAAACGCUGCAGACUUGGUGUUGGAGGCCCUUUGGGGGCAUUCAGUGCCGGAGAGAAGUUGUUAAGUCUGCUACUUGGGGAGUACGUCCGCAAGGAUGAAACUUAAAGGAAUUGGCGGGGGAGGCACCGCAACGGGAGGAGCGUGCGGUUUAAUUGGAUUCAACACCGUAAAACUCACCAGGGAAGACUGUUACAUGAAGGCCGAGAUGAAGACUCUGCUAGAUUUUCAGAGAGGAGGUGCAUGGCGUCAGUGACU
rnacentral:rRNA from 1 species